rnacentral:lncRNA from 1 species
UCGCUGCAUGUUAGCUUCGGUUUUGUUUGUGAUGUCGACCUUCUGUCUGAUUACCUUUUCUUUUCCGGCUUAUAUAUAUGCUACUAGUGCGCGUACCUAUGUGUGUGAUUCACUCAGGUCAGGACGCAUGAGCUAGCAAUGAUGUUCAGGAUGCCGUUUUUGUCUGCACGCAUGCCAAAUGGUAGGCAGCACACGUUGGAGAGCAAAGCCGGCUGGCGUGAUACACUUCCUGCACUUUCGCACACAGGCUUGCAUGCAAAGUAGGCGUUCACGGUAAAAUCCAAAAACUUUUUAAGAUUUUUUAUUACACAUCAAAUCUUACAGCACAUGCAUAGAGCAAUAAAUAUAGUUUAAAAAAAAUAAUUAAUUACACAGUUUGUCUGUAAUUUGAAAAACGAAUCUUUUGAGCCUAGUUAGUCUAUGAUUGGACAAUAAUUAUCAAAUAUAAACAAAAGUGCUACGAUAUCUAGACCCAAAAAAAUUUGAAUCUAAACAAGGCCUUAAUACUAAACCAAAUAAAUAGUACUCCUUAGGGCACCUCCAGGGUGCAGGCGAACCAUGCAAGCAGUUAUAAAACGAACACAGCUUAAAGUUCGAUAGCUAUAGUGUGUACAUGUGUAACACCCUAAAAAUUGUUACCUUGUAAAAUAGAGUUAAAAUGAUUUAUUUAUGAAUUUUGUGCUCAUGAAACAUAGGAAAAAAUAUAUUUUUCAUUAAAAUAAAAUUUAUUAUAGGAUUUAGCAACUUGUUUGAGCAUUCAUGUUGGAGCAUUUAUUUUCAUUUUAUUGUGUGAUUUUGAGCAAAGUCAAAAUAUUUUUGAAUUGUUUUGAAACUGCUUUGAAAAGACUUUGAAAUAAAAAAAGGAAACAAACAAAAGAAAAAGGAAAAAAACCUUCCCCCUCUCCAUCUUUGGCCCGAAGGCCUGGCCCCUCCCUUCCCUCGGCCUCGGCCCAACCCAGCGCGUCACUCCCUUUCCUUUUCCCCUCUCUCGGCCUGGUGGCCCAGCAGAGCAAGCAGGCCGGCCCAAAUCCUGGCCUUAUCGGGCGCACCUCCCUCUCCCUCUGUUUUCUCUCCUCUUUGGCUGACACCGUGACCCCACCCGUCAAUCACCUCCCUUUUCUUCUUCCUUGGGCGUGAGCGAGCCGGACUCCUGUCCAGGCCAAAAAUCGGCGCCCCGAUCCCGUUUUCUCCGGGAUUUUUCCUUCCUAACGCGCUCUACCGAAUCAUAUAGAAGCUUAUAACCACCCAGCGUGCUUUUCUCAUCUUUCCAUCACCGAAAGCCGCCUCUGGAGCCGAUUUAGAUCUCGCCGUCGAGCUCUGCUCAACCGCUGCCGUGGAAGCUACAACUCACAACCGUUCUGGCGAAUUCGAGACUUGGCCGAGUUUCGCAUCGAUCCUACGAAGACGCUGAGCCCUUUGCUUUGCUCCCUAUCGGUUUUUGUGGAGCCCAAAUCGCCGCCGAAGUUGGGGCGGAACACCCGAGCCGCCAUACCGAGCACCGCACCGCCCCCGCGUCCUCUCUGCUUUCGUUCUC